AUGAACGCUAGCGACAGGCUUAACACAUGCAAGUCGAGGGGCAGCGGGGUGUAGCAAUACACCGCCGGCGACCGGCGCACGGGUGAGUAACGCGUAUGCAACUUGCCUAUCAGAGGGGGAUAACCCGGCGAAAGUCGGACUAAUACCGCAUGAAGCAGGGGCCCCGCAUGGGGAUAUUUGCUAAAGAUUCAUCGCUGAUAGAUAGGCAUGCGUUCCAUUAGGCAGUUGGCGGGGUAACGGCCCACCAAACCGACGAUGGAUAGGGGUUCUGAGAGGAAGGUCCCCCACAUUGGUACUGAGACACGGACCAAACUCCUACGGGAGGCAGCAGUGAGGAAUAUUGGUCAAUGGGCGCGAGCCUGAACCAGCCAAGUCGCGUGAGGGAUGAAGGUUCUAUGGAUCGUAAACCUCUUUUAUAAGGGAAUAAAGUGCGGGACGUGUCCCGUUUUGUAUGUACCUUAUGAAUAAGGAUCGGCUAACUCCGUGCCAGCAGCCGCGGUAAUACGGAGGAUCCGAGCGUUAUCCGGAUUUAUUGGGUUUAAAGGGUGCGUAGGCGGCCUUUUAAGUCAGCGGUGAAAGUCUGUGGCUCAACCAUAGAAUUGCCGUUGAAACUGGGGGGCUUGAGUAUGUUUGAGGCAGGCGGAAUGCGUGGUGUAGCGGUGAAAUGCUUAGAUAUCACGCAGAACCCCGAUUGCGAAGGCAGCCUGCCAAGCCAUGACUGACGCUGAUGCACGAAAGCGUGGGGAUCAAGCAGGAUUAGAUACCCUGGUAGUCCACGCAGUAAACGAUGAUCACUAGCUGUUUGCGAUACAGUGUAAGCGGCACAGCGAAAGCGUUAAGUGAUCCACCUGGGGAGUACGCCGGCAACGGUGAAACUCAAAGGAAUUGACGGGGGCCCGCACAAGCGGAGGAACAUGUGGUUUAAUUCGAUGAUACGCGAGGAACCUUACCCGGGUUUGAACGCAUUCGGACCGAGGUGGAAACACCUUUUCUAGCAAUAGCCGUUUGCGAGGUGCUGCAUGGUUGUCGUCAGCUCGUGCCGUGAGGUGUCGGCUUAAGUGCCAUAACGAGCGCAACCCUUGCCACUAGUUACUAACAGGUGAUGCUGAGGACUCUGGUGGGACUGCCAGCGUAAGCUGCGAGGAAGGCGGGGAUGACGUCAAAUCAGCACGGCCCUUACAUCCGGGGCGACACACGUGUUACAAUGGCGUGGACAAAGGGAGGCCACCUGGCGACAGGGAGCGAAUCCCCAAACCACGUCUCAGUUCGGAUCGGAGUCUGCAACCCGACUCCGUGAAGCUGGAUUCGCUAGUAAUCGCGCAUCAGCCAUGGCGCGGUGAAUACGUUCCCGGGCCUUGUACACACCGCCCGUCAAGCCAUGGGAGCCGGGGGUACCUGAAGUCCGUAACCGCGAGGAUCGGCCUAGGGUAAAACUGGUGACUGGGGCU
rnacentral:rRNA from 1 species